UUGUGACAUACUGAUGACACUUCCCAAAUAGCCAAGACAGCUUUAGAUGUCCCACUGCUCUUUCAUACCUCAAUUGGUUUGCUGUGUUCCUUGAGUUGGGGAAUGAGCCCCUUCCGCAAAUUUUCUCGGAGUUAUCUAAGGUCUUAAGGAGAGUGCUGAGUUGCGUGGCUCACAGAACCUGCUCCUUGAAACCGCUUGAAGGCAGGAUGCCUGAGAAAAAGAGGGAACCACUGGGCCCAACAACUUCAAAACCCUCAGGUGAAAAAGAUGAGCAGGCACAGUGCUAAGGAAUUGAACCCAGAGCCUCGUGCAUGCUAGAUAAGCACUCUACCACUGAGCUACAUACCUGGCCCAUUUGCCUCAAUGUGGCAGUCAGAAAUUGAAGAAUUGCAUAACCCUUAGAAGUAAAAAUUAUUGAGUGAAUUAGCCUCACCAUCCCUUAUUGAAAUAAAAUAUGUACUAUCUGUAUGAGACUAAGUUAAUAAAACCAUGAUAA
rnacentral:lncRNA from 1 species